rnacentral:rRNA from 1 species
GGUCGAGAUCCGCGACUGGGCGGGGAUGCCGUCGGACGCGCUCUUCGCGGUGUUCGGGAGGCUGGACGUGGCCGACAUCCUGACGGGCGCCGGGCGGGCGUGCCGCGCGUGGCGCCGCCUCGCCGACGGCGACCCCGCGCUGUGGCGCCGCCUCGACAUGACCCACCACGGGGACAUCCUCGAGACCGAGGAGGCCGAGGCCAUGGCCCGCGCCGCCGUCGACCGCGCCGCCGGCACCCUCCAGUCCUUCUGCGCCGACACCUUCGUCACCGACUCCCUCCUCAGCUACAUCUCCGGCAGGGCACCCUCGCUGAAGAGCCUUCAACUCAGCAUGUGUGAUGAAGUAUCCAACGAGGCGCUGGCAGAGGCAGUCAAGAGCUUUCCUCAGCUUGAGGAGCUGGAGAUCACAUUCUGCUCCCUGAACAGCAACGUGUGCGAGUCAGUCGGCAGAGCCUGCCCACACCUGAAAUCCUUUCGGCUGAACGAGCGCUGGACGAUCCUCCAAAGGGGGUUUGCAGCCUUUGAGGGCAUGGAUGAUGACACGGGAGCGCUCGGGAUCGCGAGCAGCAUGCCCGAGCUCCGAGACCUCCAGCUGAUCGGCAACAACCUGACCAACACCGGACUGGCCGCGAUCCUCGACCACUGCCCCCGCCUCGAGUCCCUCGACGUGCGCCGCUGCUGCAACCUCCAGAUGGAUGAUGCCUUGAGAUCCAAGUGCGCCAGGAUCGGGAACCUCAGGCUUCCCCGGGACCCCAUCACCGACUUCAAGUACCGGGCUUACCUCGCUAUCAGUGAUGACUACCCCGGCGGUUCCGACAUCGAGGUCGACAUGUACGAUGAUCUGCUGGACGUGGUCACCGACGAGGAGGAUGCCGAGUUCGAUGACAUGGCUGAUUAUAUCGACGGUGUGGGCUCGGACGCUGACAUGUAUGAUGACGUGUUCGACGAUGUCUGA